rnacentral:tRNA from 1 species
GGGCGCGUAACUCAGCGGAAGAGUGCAAUCCUCACACGGUUGAAGUCGCUGGUUCGAACCCAGUCGCGCCCA